GACGAACGCUGGCGGCGUGCCUAAUACAUGCAAGUAGAACGCGGAAGGAGGAGCUUGCUUCUCUGGAUGAGUUGCGAACGGGUGAGUAACGCGUAGGUAACCUGCCUGGUAGCGGGGGAUAACUAUUGGAAACGAUAGCUAAUACCGCAUAAUAGCAGUUGUUGCAUGACAACUGUUUGAAAGGUGCAAUUGCACCACUACCAGAUGGACCUGCGUUGUAUUAGCUAGUUGGUGGGGUAACGGCUCACCAAGGCGACGAUACAUAGCCGACCUGAGAGGGUGAUCGGCCACACUGGGACUGAGACACGGCCCAGACUCCUACGGGAGGCAGCAGUAGGGAAUCUUCGGCAAUGGACGGAAGGCUGACCGAGCAACGCCGCGUGAGUGAAGAAGGUUUUCGGAUCGUAAAGCUCUGUUGUAAGAGAAGGACGAGUGUGAGAGUGGAAAGUUCACACUGUGACGGUAUCUUACCAGAAAGGGACGGCUAACUACGUG
rnacentral:rRNA from 1 species